rfam:Hordeum vulgare subsp. vulgare, WGS project CAJW01000000 data, contig: morex_contig_340225
UUAUUACUGCCUCCGUCCCAAAAUUCUUGUCUUAGUUUUGUCUAGAAAUNNNNUAUCUAGACAAAUAUAAGACAAGAAUUUUGGGACAGAGGGAGUACUUA